AUUGAACGCUGGCGGCAGGCCUAACACAUGCAAGUCGAACGGUAGCACAGAGGAGCUUGCUCCUCGGGUGACGCUUGGCGGACGGGUGAGUAAUGGCUGGGGAUCUGCCCUGUAGAGGGGGAUAAACACUGGAAACGGUGGCUAAUACAGCAUAACGUCGCAAGACCAAAGAGGGGGACCUUCGGGCCUCUCACUAUCGGAUGAACCCAGAUGGGAUUAGCUAGUAGGCGGGGUAACGGCCCACCUAGGCGACGAUCCCUAGCUGGUCUGAGAGGAUGACCAGCCACACUGGAACUGAGACACGGUCCAGACUCCUACGGGAGGCAGCAGUGGGGAAUAUUGCACAAUGGGCGCAAGCCUGAUGCAGCCAUGCCGCGUGUAUGAAGAAGGCCUUCGGGUUGUAAAGCACUUUCAGCGGGGAGGAAGGCGAUGUGUUUAAUAACCGCAUUGAUUGACGUUACCCGCAGAAGAAGCACCGGCUAACUCCGUGCCAGCCGCCGCCGUAA
rnacentral:rRNA from 1 species